CAGCACCACGGGAACACAGAGGGUGCGAGCGUUAAUCGGAUUUACUGGGCGUAAAGCGUGCGUAGGCGGCUUCUUAAGUCGGAUGUGAAAUCCCUGAGCUUAACUUAGGAAUUGCAUUCGAUACUGGGAAGCUAGAGUAUGGGAGAGGAUGGUAGAAUUCCAGGUGUAGCGGUGAAAUGCGUAGAGAUCUGGAGGAAUACCGAUGGCGAAGGCAGCCAUCUGGCCUAAUACUGACGCUGAGGUACGAAAGCAUGGGGAGCAAACAGGAUUAGAUACCCCCGUAGUCCCUGUCUCUUAUACA
rnacentral:rRNA from 1 species